GCACGGGUGCGUAACGCGUAUACGAUCUACCUAUUACAGGGGGAUAGCCCAGAGAAAUUUGGAUUAAUACCCCAUGGUAUUAUUAGAUGGCAUCAUUUAGUAAUUAAAACUACGGUGGUAAUAGAUGAGUAUGCGUCCUAUUAGUUAGUUGGUAAGGUAAUGGCUUACCAAGGCAUCGAUAGGUAGGGGUCCUGAGAGGGAGAUCCCCCACACUGGUACUGAGACACGGACCAGACUCCUACGGGAGGCAGCAGUGAGGAAUAUUGGGCAAUGGACGAGAGUCUGACCCAGCCAUGUCGCGUGCAGGAAGACGGCUUUAUGAGUUGUAAACUGCUUUUAUACAGGAAGAAACCAACCGCCGUGUUGGUGGCUGACGGCACUGUACCAAUAAAGACCGGCUAACUCCCUGUCAGCAGCCUCGGUAAUACCGAGGUCUAAGCGUUAUCCCGAAUCCUUGGGUUUAAAGGGUCCGUAGGC
rnacentral:rRNA from 1 species